rnacentral:rRNA from 1 species
UACGGGGGGGGCAAGCGUUGUUCGGAAUUACUGGGCGUAAAGGGCUCGUAGGCGGCCAACUAAGUCAGACGUGAAAUCCCUCGGCUUAACCGGGGAACUGCGUCUGAUACUGGAUGGCUUGAGUUUGGGAGAGGGAUGCGGAAUUCCAGGUGUAGCGGUGAAAUGCGUAGAGAUCCGGAGGAACACCAGCGGCGAAGGCGGCAUCCUGGACUGGUCCUGACACUCAUGAGCGAAAGCGUGGGGAGCGAUCCGG